rnacentral:misc_RNA from 1 species
AUAAUUGUGUUUGCAGGCAAACGAAGAAAAACCGACUUCAAUUAUAUCGACAAGUAAUACAACGUAGGUAGACGAAAAAAUAGUCAAGUAAAUACACAUUAUCAAAGAUUACUCCAAAAAUCUCGAUGAAAUUUAAAUGUGACCACAUGAUAAACAUCGGCUUUCGAUUAAAUUAAAAAUCAUCAAAAUCGGUACAACCA